CAUACUGCUCAGUUGGUAGAGCGAAGGAUUGUAGUGGGGAUAUCCUAUUAGUUAUCCUUAGGUCGUUGGUUUGAAUCCGACAAGUCUGA
rnacentral:tRNA from 1 species